UUCGCAGAAUAUCGAGCUUGAGACAAAAAUUGAGGAUGACGAUGAAGAACACAUUUACGAAGAACCGUUUGAUACAGUCGUCAACAGUCGUCCAAAUGUAAGUGGUGAGAAAAUCAUUGAACGUUAUGGGACUGUUAUGGGCCUUUUGAACUGUAAAGACGAUGAGACUAAAUUAGAAAAUUCAUCGAAAAAUUUGGAGUGCGAAAAGCCGCUUGAUGUAAUCGUCAACAGUUUUCCAAAUAAAGAAAACAACCAGAAAAUUCAGUGCAGAAUUCUGAGAAAAUAGCAGUCUUUAACAGUCAUUAUAUGCCUUUGAUUCAUGAAAUAUGAACACAAUGUUACUUAACAUUACUUAGUAUUGGAAAUGAACAAAAUACUACUUAAAUUAUUGACAAUGAAAGAAAUUAAUACGAACGAAUACCUUUGAAGACGAAAAUGAAAAAAUUGAUGAUCACAAUUGUUUAUCACUAAA